rnacentral:rRNA from 1 species
AAUGGGGGCAACCCUGAUCCAGGCAUGCCGCGUGUGUGAAGAAGGCCUUAGGGUUGUAAAGCACUUUAAGUGAGGAAGAAAAGAUUUAAAUUAAUACUUUAAGUCCCUGACAUUACUCACAGAAUAAGGACCGGCUAACUCCGUGCCAGCAGCCGCGGUAAUACGGAGGGUCCAAGCGUUAAUCGGAAUUACUGGGCGUAAAGCGCGCGUAGAUGGUUUAUUCAGUUGGGUGUGAAAUCCCUGGGCUCAACCUAGGAACUGCAUUCAAAACUUAUAAACUAGAGUACGAAAGAGGAGAGUAGAAUUCAUGGUGUAGCGGUGAAAUGCGUAGAGAUCAUGAGGAAUACCAGUGGCGAAGGCGACUCUCUGGUUCGAGACUGACAUUGAGGUGCGAAAGCGUGGGUAGCAAACAGGAUU